rnacentral:hammerhead_ribozyme from 1 species
AUCCAUCUGACAAAUCCUAAAUAAGACGAAACGCGCGUCCUGGAU